rnacentral:miRNA from 1 species
UUGCUUGAGUAACUUGAACACA